rnacentral:rRNA from 1 species
CCGCCGGCGACCGGCGCGCGGGUGAGUAACACGUAUGCAACCUGGCCGUGACAGAUGGAUAACCGGGAGAAAUCCCGCCUAAUACAACAUAAUGCCGGGAGGGGACAUCCCCUGCCGGCCAAAGGGGCGACCCCGGUCACGGAUGGGCAUGCGGCGCAUUAGGUAGUUGGUGGGGCAACGGCCCACCAAGCCGACGAUGCGUAGGGGUUCUGAGAGGAAGGUCCCCCACAUUGGAACUGAGACACGGUCCAAACUCCUACGGAAGGCAGCAG